AGCAACUGUCCUUUAUGGCCUCCAGCAGACAAUCCAGCAAACCAAGCUGCAUCUGCAGUGGAGAGAAAAAUACAGUGGAAUUUGCUCUGCACUCUCAGAAUAUGAAUGAUGAGCCUCCUGUAUGCAAUCCACCACAUUUGGAAACUCAAAUUUAUUCCACUGUUGAGUCCUUUCAUUCAGCUCAACUGUUUAGCAAAGAUUCUCCACAGGAACAUCUGAGCUAUUCAAUUGUAGGAGUGACAGGAAUACAAUAACUAUUUGACAGUAAGACAGGAGAAGUCAAGAUGUUGAACAAUUAAGAAAAGAAUGUGAUGCCAAUGGAAGACACUUGACUUUAACCAGCAUAAAGGUCACCAUAUCUUCAUGUCACUUGCUUUCUUUGAAAAGGUCUUUUAAAAUCACAGCUUUUAACAAUAAAACUAUAUCCAUUUUUUCACAUAGCUGAAUAUUUUUAUGUAAUAUGUCACAUAUUUUGAUAGGUCUGAAUUUUACUGCUGCAACUAUGCUAAGGUUUAUAUGCCAUAGAGAUGUGCUUGUUUUGCUUAAAACAUUUACAGUGCUAGACAAUCACCAAUAGAAAAUAAAUUGAGGAUUCCAACUGUGUUUAGAUUGUGAUUGUAUUUCAAUAACUAAUAUUAAGGUAUUUAAAAUAGAUAUUCAUAUAAA
rnacentral:lncRNA from 1 species